GCAGCUGUGUGGUGCGUGUGUUUGUGUGUGUGUGUGUGUGUUUAAAGAGAUGAAGAAAGACUUUGGGCUUUAGGUUUAAUUAGGUUUGGGCUCAAGUCUUGGGCCUGAAUAAUUAGGAGUUGGGCCGAUUUUAUUUAAAGUCUGGACUGCUUCAUUUAAUUAAUCUUGGGCCCUGAUUUAAAUUGAAACAUUGGGCUUAUGUUUUUAAAGAAAUGAACUACCUUAUUAUUUAACUGGACUGCAGUUCAAAAAAAAAAAAAGGGGAUACUUAUUAAUUAUUUUUUUCAAAAGAUGAUUUACAUAAUAAUAUUAUAUUAUUAUGUGCAUAUUUUAAGUAGUUGCUUAUUAUAUGUUUUAAGCAUGACAUGAAAUUUUCAUUUGCAUAAUGCAUAAAAGUAUUUAUGAUUUAACGAAAAUCGAGUAGGGUUAUUGUUGGUGUCCUUGACUCAAGAAAGUUAGUUUUCAAUAUUUAUUAUUAAAAUUUUGAGAACUCGGCGUGAUGAAUCAAAGAAUGUCUAGCACUUCCACUAUGACUUAAGAUUAGAUUGAGGAGACCUAUUAAGAAUAGAAUUUCUUGUAGGCUUUAUGGACCAAGGGGAUUAGCGCUGCUUUCCCGAGACGAGUUUGUGUGAUUUUGAAUCUUCAGGCUUUGCCUAACCAGGUUGGCUGGCUGGUGCUGACGGGACGGAGCUGAGGCUAGGGUUAAUUUCCUAUGUUAGACUUCCGCUGUAGCAAUUACUCAUAUCUGUCUUUUGUUUUUCCCAACUUAAGAUCUUCAUGUUAAAUUUCAAAUGAUAUACCUGACCGAGCUUAGACUCUUCACUACCAAGUUUAUGCUAAUGAAUGUCGGUUGUCAGAAGCAUGAAACAAAACUUGUGAUCCAAAGGGGCAUAGCCCGACUUUCUAUCUUAUUUCGGUUUUAACAAGGUUUUUCCUUUGUUUA